GCAGAGCAUCCUACGGGAGGCAGCAGUGGGGAAUAUUGCACAAUUGGGCGCAAGCCUGAUGCAGCCAUGCCGCGUGUAUGAAGAAGGCCUUCGGGUUGUAAAGUACUUUCAGCAGUGAGGAAGGUGGAUAUGUUAAUAGCAUAUUCAUUUGACGUUAGCUGCAGAAGAAGCACCGGCUAACUCCGUGCCAGCAGCCGCGGUAAUACGGAGGGUGCGAGCGUUAAUCGGAAUUACUGGGCGUAAAGCGCAUGCAGGUGGUUUGUUAAGUCAGAUGUGAAAGCCCGGGGCUCAACCUCGGAAUUGCAUUUGAAACUGGCAAACUAGAGUACUGUAGAGGGGGUAGAAUUUCAGGUGUAGCGGUGAAAUGCGUAGAGAUCUGAAGGAAUACCGGUGGCGAAGGCGGCCCCCUGGACAGAUACUGACACUCAGAUGCGAAAGCGUGGGGAGCAAACAGGAUUAGAUACCCUGGUAG
rnacentral:rRNA from 1 species